rnacentral:rRNA from 1 species
CAAUAGCGUAUAUUAAAGUUGUUGCAGUUAAAAAGCUCGUAGUUGGAUUUCUGAUCGAGACGUCAGGUCGGGUCCGAGAGGAUCAUGUACUUUGAUUUUGUUUUGAUCAUCCUUGGGGAGAGCAUUUCUGGCAUUCAGUUGUCGGGAUUGGGAUCCUCAUCGUUUACUGUGAAAAAAUUAGAGUGUUCAAAGCAGGCCUCGGCCUCUGAAUACAUUAGCAUGGAAUAAUAAGAUAGGACUUUGGUGGUCUAUUUUGUUGGUUUGCACGCCAAAGUAAUGAUUAAUAGGGAUAGUUGGGGGUAUUCGUAUUCAAUUGUCAGAGGUGAAAUUCUUGGAUUUAUGGAAGACGAACUACUGCGAAAGCAUUUACCAAGGAUGUUUUCAUUAA